UUAGGCUCUCCAAGCAAACCUUGGCGUCUCCAGUAAUAGUCUUCGGCAUCAAAUGCUCUGCUACUUCAGCAGGGGUCAUUUUGGUUUCCCCCAACAACUCCUGGAUUCUGGCAAACAAGUGGUGUGAUUCAAGCCGAAGGUAGUUCUUCGCCAAAACCUGGAAUGCUUCAAAGCUACAAUAGGACAAUUCUAUGUGCUUGUCCAUCCUUCCUUUCCUAAUGAGAGCUGGAUCAAGUUUCUCCACAAAAUUAGUCGUGAAAACAAUCAGUCUUUCUCCUCUGCAAGCUGACCAAAGUCCAUCAACAAAAUUCAAAAUCCCAGAAAGAGUGACCUGACUCUGUUUGCUAUCUUCUUCCUUGGGCAGCUUCGGCUUUGGAUCCUUCUCAUCUCUCUCCCCCUCUUCCUCCUUCUUCUUCUUCCUUUGACCAGUUAGGUCAAGAGAACAAUCAAUAUCCUCAAUCACAAUAAUGGACCUGGUUGUUGUCUCCAUCAGUAGCUUUCUCAACUCAGUGUUAUCCUUCACAGCAGUCAAUUCAAGAUCAUAUAUAUCGUAGUUUAAGAGAUUGGCCAUGGCUGCAAUCAUAGUUGAUUUACCAGUCCCUGGUGGACCGAAAAGCAGAUACCCUCGCUUCCAAGCCCUUCCAAUUCUUGCAUAGAAGUCUUCAGCCGUGCUGAAUAUGACAAGAUCAUCAACGAUUUCCUGCUUCCUCUCUGCCUCCAUUGCAAGCGUCUCGAAACUAGCCGGAUGCUGAAACACCACAUGCCUCCAGUAUGAUCCACUGUUAGUGUAAAGCUUCCUCUGACGAUUCCUUACCUUGAUUUCAUUACCCUCUUUCAAGACAUGAUUCAAGUAAUCCCCGAGGAUGAGUUGCCGGUGUCUCUUAUGGAAAGUGAGCUUGUAGUACUUCUUCUCAUCCGUUACGGGAUAGAAAGAAACAGAUUGCGUCUUGGAAAUAUGUUUCCCUGAAGCCCACCUAAGUUUGACUCCCUGGAAUUCAUCACCAACCUCUUCAUAAUCAUCCAUGCUAAGAACAACCGACUGGCUGUUCUUGACAACAUCAGCCUUGAGCCGCUUUGCCUGCGUAGAUGAACGAGAACCAAGAUAAUUCUCAAUGGCAGAGUAAGCUUCACUACGCAUGAAGCGAUCGCCGGUGAAUUCAUUGAAGCUAAUUUGAAUGUAAGGGUAAACGAAAGUGAAGGCCCUUUUGGAGUAUUUAUCAAAAUAUUCUUGUACACUAUACGGACAAUAUUGCUUGAACAUGGCCCAAGCAAACAUAACACUUGCAAUCACAGAACCUACUUGAGUAAACAUAUCUGCUGGGUUCAUUUCUUUUGUCUAUUCGAUUCUCCUCCUCUUCUUUCCUCUCCACUUGUGUGUUUUGUGCAAGAAUUUUAUAGCCCGGCAAGCGGAGAUAGCUAAUCUUAUUGGCUAAGUCAGCAGUGUCACAAGUGACGCAUGCAUGCUUGUCUUGCAAGAUGGCGUGUAUAAUGGCUUUCCUGGCAAACAAAUGUCAACUUGGUAUUUUCCUAGAUAGUUCCUACAAGGAAGCUGACGCCAGAGGACUUCUGGGACCAUGGUUUUGUCGUUUCCGAUACAGUUUGGACGGUGGUGUACAUUACUGCUCAACCAUAGAUAUUUGACAGAUAUUGCAGGCUGUUUAUUUUUUUUAAAAAAAAAAUGUGUUUUUAAAAAAUAAUAAAUUUUUUUAUUUUUCUAUUUUAAAUUAAUAUUUUUUUAAUAUUUUUAAAUUAUAAUGGGUUGAUAUUUUUAAAUUAAAAAAAAAACAUUACUUUAAAAGGCCAUGUCUUUCAUGAAUUUCAUGUUUUAAGUUUAAGUGAAAUCUUUUUAAUUUAAAAAAUUUAAUUAACUAUCAAGUUAUUUUAAAAAAAAAUAUUAUUUUAAUAAAAAUAAUUAAUUUAGGUUAAUUUGGAUCCUCUUUUUUAUAUUUGUCUCUCUUUUAUUACAAUUAUAACCUUAACAUUUGUUUAAUCCUACUCUGGUCAAGAUGGAAAUAAGUUUCCUCCGUGACUUUUAAUAAAUUUUAAUUUACUUUCUAGUUGUUGUAUGUAUUAAGUUUAGAGUAAUUCUUAUUGUUUAUUGUUUGAUAUUAAAAAAAUAUUUUAAGCAAAAAAUAAUAAAAUUAUAUUUUUUACAAGAAGCACGAUAUUAUAAUUUCUAGAUUAAGAGAAAACAAUAUAAUUUUAACCCAAGUUUCAAAUUACAGUGGAAAUAUGUACUAACUACAAUCAAAUUCAAAAUAUAUAUAAAAAAUGAAAUUAUCAUUGUUCUUUUUGUUAAAUAAUAUAUUUAUUUAUUAAGAGUAAAAUAAUAUUUUCAACUUAAUCUAUAUAUAAAUUCUUUGUAUUUAGAUUAAAGUAUAAAGAAGAAUACAAAUCAAUUGAGGAGAAUUCUAGUCUCCUUUUAUUUCAUGUUCGUAUUUAUUUUUGUGUUAAUUGGAUUAUUUUAACAUUUUUAAUAAUCAUCACAGUAAUCAUAGAAAAUAAUUUAUUUUAAGAAAUCUAAAUUCAUUUAAUUGUGAAGCAAAUAUAAAAUGACUUAGAUGUGUAUUUUUUCCUUUGAUAGGUUUAUAUUAUUUUUUUCCUAGCACGUUCCUAGGGCAGGUGGAAAUUUCUCAGCAGGAGUUGAAUAUUUAUUUAAUUUGGGGCAGCUGGGAAUUUAUUAGUAGCAACGAGGCAACCAGCUGCUAGAUUCUAUGAACAAUAGAUACGUUGUCUUCUCCUGCGCUACUAAGCAGCCUCUGGACCCUUGGAUUGGUUAUUUUAUUUAUUAAAAAACACAACUAGGGCAUUUUUUAUUUUAUUAUAAAGAAUAUUUUUGGUUCAACUUAUACAUUAAUUAAAAUUAAAUUUUCUCGUGCAUUCAAAUAAAUUUAAUAUGAUUGAAUAUACAUUUUUAACCAUUAAAUUAACUUUUUAAAAUUAAUAUAACCAACAUUACAUUAUUAUUUUUCUUAAGUGCUUAAAAAAAGGCUAGGCACAUAAGUCUAGUAGCCAAGAACCACGCACCUCGGCUUUGAUUACUUUUGUUUCUAUUUUUAUGGGACGAAUGACAUGUCUUUUACCUUGUUUUCUUUGAAAAAAGUAGAGGAGGUGACGUGUCGCCUACAACACCCAAAUUCCAAUAACAAAGAUUGCUGAAAAGCUGGCCAUGGAUGUUUCACACCUAAAAAAUUGAUUUUUCAACCAAUUUUUUACCUAAAAAAAUGCCUAGAGGCCAAAAAUAAACUUGUUUAUGCCUUCACACCAAAGUUGUUAAAAUCGCGAGUUAACUCAUAAAAUCUUACGAUUUUACAAGUCAACAUGUAUCUAACGUGCUAAAUCAGACUAAAAACUCGAAACCAGUAAAAUCAAACUUAACUCGUGCAAAAUUGAUAAAAUUGGUAAACUUGGUCUGAUUUUAUGAAUUUACUAAAUUUGUGAUAUGAACCAAGUUAUAUCCAAAUUUGACCUUAAAAUGUCUACUGACUAGUUUUGUGAGAUUGAGCAUAUCUUUCAAACCGUAUAUUGGAUAAAUUUGAAAUUUUACAGGAAAAUAUUAGAUACAUGAAAAUAUAUUAUGGUAAAUUUUCAAGUCAAAUGGAGUUAGGAAACAUAAUAUUUCAAAUGGUCAAAUUUAAUAAACUAAUAUUGUCAAAUAUAUCAAACAAUACCUUCGUGUACUGUUUGCGACAUAUCUAGAGCUAUCAAUGGAUUUUUUCUUCGAUUAAAGUUGGGAUAGAAACUAGACAUCUGAAACUUUCCAACUAUAUAUCGUAGGCCCAAUAAUUCAUCCAAACGAGAGAGAAUAACAUGCUUGAAAUCAGGAGAAAACGACAUGUUUGUAAUCAGGAGAGAACGACAUGUUUGUAAUCAGGACUCAAAUCUGCCAAGACCAAAAAUAUACAAAAAUUAGAGAUUCAGACUACAUAGAGGAAUUUUAACAUGAAGACUUUUUUUAUUAUUCUAUUUUAUUUAUUUAUUUAAUUUUAAAUAAUUAUUUUUAAUUUGAAUUUUUCUAGCUAGCGCAUUAGACAUUGUUUAGGGGUUUAUUUCAUUAUUGAAUUUAUGUUAGUUAAUUACUAAUUUAAACUCAUUAGCUUGCAACCCAAAAAUGAUCUAUCAAGACUUAUUAUGAUGGGAACAACCAGGUUGUCACUAGGUUUAUGUGUAUUUCCUACCUUUCAGUGAUUUCUCUGUAUUAAGAAAUUUUGUUCUGAGACUUUAUUUCUCCAUGUCAUUAAUUUAUUGAUUCAUACUAUCUAUCUCUCUUAUUUUAUUUAGAUCACUCGUUGAUUAUAAUAUUGUUGACUCAUUUUAUCAGAUUUUAAUGUAAUUUAAUUUCUUGAUUAGAAUUAUCAAUAUAUAAUUAGUUAAAAAAAAUUACUUACGAUUUUAUGAUUUUACGAUCCGAGUUUAUAUUGUAUUUUUUGUGUCGUCUCAACAAAAUAUUUUUGACAACCUUGCUUCACACAACUCAAAAUAUGAUAAAAAAAUUAAAAAUUAAUUCAAAACCCAAAACUUCUUGAGGUCAUAUCUAUCCUCUCAAACAAUUUAAAGGAGAAAAUGAAGCUCUUUUCAUUGAAUAGAACUCAUAGAUACCCAAAAAAAUUAUUUUAGUGGUCAAAAUCGUGUCAAUUGGUGUUUUUUCUAUCUACUACCGGAAUCAAGUGGCUUUUUCUCUUUCACCUCAAAUAAAAACUAAAAAAUAAGAGAAAUAAAUUUUUGGAUCAAAAGUGAAUUUUGAAAAAAACUCAAGGGAUGGAAAAUGGGUGCGUUUCAAAGUAAGAAGACUGGCAUAUAUUUUUUUAGUCAAUUUUGAAAUGACCAUAUAGUUCUUUUGUUGUUUUCAUUUUGAUCCUAUUUUUUUCAAUGUUGUUCUUGGUUAACAAAUAAGAAGGAAUCUGGCCUUCAGUUUGAACAAAUAAGGAUACAAUUAUAAAAAAAAAAAAAAAAGUAUAAUGACCAAAUUAAACAAAAAAAAAAGAAAAAUCCAUCGCUCUAAUUCAAAGUAAAAUACAAGAGGAUCUACAAUCUUUGGUGCAUAGUAAAAGCACCACACCUUUUCUCUUUUUUUUUUUUUUAAUGUUUGGUGUUAGUCGUGAACAUAAGAUUUGUUAAGUGAAGAAAUUAGAUUGGUGAUAUUCAUUAAUUUGCUAUAUUAAUUGAUUAGACAGUUUUUUUUAUCAAUGUAAUCAUACUUUGAUUUGAUAUGAUAGUAUUUUAUUUUUGAAAAAUGCAAUCUUAAUUUUCUCUGAAAUUUUUUCAUAUUAUUUACUUCUUCUUUUUUCAAACAUAAUCAAUGAAUUGCCUCAUUCAACAAGGCAUCAUCUAGAAAUUAAUAUAUCAUUUGUGAUAUUAAUUAAUUGUAGUGAUAAUUAGAAAAAUAUAAUGAAUAAUUUAUCAUAAAUAUGUCUCUCUUGUUCAUAAAUUAUUUUCUAUAUAUAAUAUAAACGUAAAUAUUUUCAUAUCAAAACGUAUCACAUAAUGAUAGUGGUAAUUUUUCCAGUAUAUUAUAUUAAACACAGUAUAUAUUGGGAGAAACAUAGAUUAAAAAAAAUGUUUUUGUUGAAUAUAUAAGUUAUGGUAGACAUGUAAAAUAUAUCAACAUUAAAAAAAAUGAAAACAAGAGAUCAAUUAUUCAAAAAACAAAUGCCAUUAAUUUUAUAAAUUUUGAAUUUCAAUUUACUUUCUGAUUGUUGUAUAUUAAGUUUAGAGUUAUUAUUAUUAUUAUUAUUAUUUAGUAUUUAAAAAAUCUAAAAUUGUAAUAAAAAGCACUGAGAAGGACCAGUUUUGUCACCCCCUCCGCAAUGAUUUUACUUCAAUAAUUUCUUAAUUAAUUAUUUAUGUCUCUUUUUUUCAAGGAUGUUAAUUUCAAUACUAUAUAUAUAUAUAUAUAUAUAUAUAUAUAUAUAUAUAUAUAUAUAUAUAUAUAUAUAUUAAACAAAAGAUAGUAAAAUUAUUUUUAUUAUUACAAGAAGCAUGGUAUUAUCAACUUUUUUCCAUGAAAGAGGAACUAGCUAGGAAAAUUUUCAAUUGCUUGGCCUUGAUUUCUUGGUCGUCUUAACCUUGAUUUCUCAAACUUUUUUCUAUUUCCUAGCUAUGGUGGAAAUUUCUCAGAACCAGCAGCUGCUAGAUUCUAUGAACGAUGGAUAUGGUGUCUUCUUCUUUGCUACUUCCUCUUUCAUCACGUUCACAAUUUUAUAUAUAUGCAGUCUCUGGACCAUUAGGGUUACAUAUUUUAUUUAUUAAACCAAAAAACAAAAAGCACGACUAGAGUUUAAUUUCAUGAUAAAGAAUAUUUUUAAAUUACUUUACGUAUUAAUUAAAAUUAAGCAUUUCUUAAAUGAUUUUAAAGGUGUAUUUUUUUUUAAUAAUAUGGUAUAUUCAAAUGAAUUUAAUUAUCCAUUUACUUUAAUUACCCGGGCUAUAAUUUCAUCUGGACGGAAAAAAAAAAAGAAAUCACAAAUUAGAUUGAUAAUAUUCAUCAAUAUGCUUAUUAAUUUUUUAAUAGGUAAAUGCAAUAGGAUUAAUAUUAUAGUUCAUGUAAUUUAUCAAAAAAAAUUAAUUAAUUUUCAUAAUAUUUAAAAAAUUAAAUAAUUUCUUAUCAAUGUUAAAUAUUCUUGAUUUGAUAGCAUUUUAUUAAAGAAAAAUAUAAUCUAUUCCCAACCAUCUUUCCUCUUCAACUCUUGAAACAAGAAAAGAAGUUAUAAAAUAAUAAAAAGAAAGAUCAAGCAUAUUGCUUGAACAUGGCCCAAGCAAACAUAACACUUGCAAUCACAUGCAGAGCCUACUUGAGUAAACAUAUCUGCUGGGUUCAUUUCUUUUGUCUAUUCGAUGCUCCCCCUCCUCCCCCUCCCCCUCCUCCUCCUCCUCCUCCUCCCUCCUCUCCACUUGUGUGUUUUGUGCAAGAACUUUAUAGCCCGGCAAGCGGAGUGACGCAUGCAUGCUUUGUCUUGCAAUAUGGCGUGUACAAUGGCUUUCCUGGCAGACGUGUAUAGUCAACUUCGUAUUUUCCCAGAUAGGUCCUACAAGGAAGCUGAUGCCAGAGGACUUCUGGGACCGUGGUCUUGUCGAUUCAGUUUGUAAUUGUAUUUUAGAAUUCUUUUUAAAAAAAUUAAAUUUUUUUUAUUUUUUUAUUUUAAAUUAAUAUAUUUUUAAUAUUUUCAGAUUAUUAUCUUUAUAUUAUUUUUUUCCCUCCCAGCAAGUUACUGGGCAGAUGGAAAUUUAUCAGCAGCAGUUGAAUAUUUAUUUAAUUUGGGGCAGUGGGAAUUUCUCAGUAGUAACGACUAACGAGGCAACCAGCUGCUAGAUCUAUGAAGAAUAGAUACGUAUACGUUUUCUUCUGCGCUACGAAGCAGCCUCUGGACCAUUGGAUUAGUUAUUUUAUUUAUUAAAAAACACAGCUAGGGCAUUUUUUAUUUUAUUAUAAAGAAUAUUUUUGGUUCAAUUUAUACAUUAAUUAAAAUUAAAUUUUCUCGUGCAUUCAAAUAAAUUUAAUAUGAUUGAAUAUACAUUUUUAACCUUUAAAUUAACUUUUUAAAAUUAAUAUAACCAACAUUACAUUAUUAUUAUUUUUAUAUCAAAAUCUGUUAAUAAUUCAUCUAUUAGUGGCUAACUAGAUGGGUGGCCAACAGUAUACUACAGGUUAGAUCAGAUUAAUUUAAAAAAAUAAAAAUUAUUAUAAAAAUUUAAAAUUGUAAUAAAAAGCAUCAAAAGGACGAGUUUUGUAACCCCCUCAAAAUAAGCAAUCAUUUUACUUCAAUAAUUUCUUAAUUAAUUAUUUAUGGUUUUUUUUUCAAGGAUGUUAAUUUCAAUAAUAUAAUGUAAACAUUCAUUUUUCAUAUAUAUAUUAAACAAAAGAUAGUAAAAUUAUUUUUAUUACAAGAAGCAUGGUAUUAUCAUUCCUAGAUUAUGGAAAAACCUUCUAGUUUUAUCACAAGUUCCAAAAUUACAGUGGAGAUAUGUACAAAUUAUUAUGAAUAAUCAUUUUCGGUUCGAUUCGAUUUUUAUUAAAAAAAUAACUAAAUUGUUUUUUUUUUUAAAAAAAUCAAAACCGGUUCAAACCGACCGAUUUCGGUUCGGUUAUUUUAGAACAAAAAUCGGUUUUUUUUGUUUGACUCGGUUUUUUUCCGGUUUGGAUCGGUUUUUCCGGUUAAGCUCAAUUUUUUUCGGUUUCAGGCUUAUAAUUAAAACUGAAACCUUACCAAACCGGUCGAUUUUUUAAAAAUUUUAAUCGAUUUAAUCGAUUUUUUUUUCCGGUUUGAAUUUUAAUAUAUUUUUAAAUAAAAAUAAUUUUAAAAAACACUCUUCGAUAAGACAAAAUUUCUCAACUUUUUCCAUGAAAGAGGAACUAGCUAGGAAAAUUUUCAAUUGCUUAGCCUUGAUUUCUUCGUCGUCUUAACCUUGAUUUCUCUACUUUUUUUCCAGGAAAGAGGCAACCAGCAGCUGCUAGCUUCCAUGAACGAUGGAUAUGGUGUCUCCUUCUUUGCUACUUCCUCUUUCAUCACGUUCACAAUUUUAUAUAUGCAGUCUCUGGACCAUUAAGGCUACAUAUUUUAUUUAUUAAACCAAAAUACAAAAAGCUAGCACGACCAGAGUUUAAUUUCAUGAUAAAGAAUAUUUUUUAAUCAGUUUACGUGUUAAUUAAGUGUUUAUUUCUUAAAUGAUUUUAAAAGUGUAUUUUUUUUAAUAAUAUGGUAUAUUGACAAUAAGAUUUAAACUUAAAAAAAUCAAAAAAUUGAGUAUAUAUUCUUAACAUAGACUAACCUUUCAUAAAAUUAGCAUAACUAAAAUCACAUUAUUAUUUUUCUUAUAUCAUAAACUCUUAAUAGAUCAGCAAGGCCAAUGUUGGUGUUGGUCAUGAACAUAAUAGUACUUGUGAAGAAAUUAAUUUUAAAUCUUAAAUAAUUUUCCUUGCAAAUAAAAGACUUUAAUUCAAAAUCUUAAAUUAUAAUUUGAUGAGAUUUAUAAAUAUUUUUUAUAUUAAUUAGUCUUUAACUUACUACAUGUUAAUUAUCCAUCUACUUUAAUUACCCGGGCUAUAAUUUCAUCGGGACGGAAUUGUAAAGCCACACUUGUUCUGUGGUGAGAGAGUUAUAUAUAUAGACAAUGUGCAGGUAUGGUUAUGGUAGGAAACAACAAUUUAAACAACUGUUCAAAUCCAUCUGGCUAUAUUAUCUCCUACAAUUAUGGAGAGUGACGUGGUGUACUCCAUUCCUUAUCAGUGCAUGCAGCUCUCAAUUGAACUUUUUUGCAGGGAGGAUGGACAAGGAAUACAAUCUGUCAUUCACUUUGCACAUUAUCGAUGGAUUUGAUCUCGUCAGUGUAUUCUAGAGGUGAAAGGAAUUGUUCACACAUCACUGAUAGAAAUACUGACAGGUUUGAGUCCAUCGAUGUAUUCUAGAGGCAAAAUGAAUUGUUCGCACAUCACCAAUGGAAACACUUACGGUUUUAAGUCUGUUAGCGUAUUCUAGAAGCGAAGGGAAUUGUUCACGUACCGAGAGAAUCACUAACAGACUAAUUAAUAAUAAUAUUAAUUACUAGUCCGUUGGUGCAUUUGCAUAAAGCAAAGCGCGGAUAAUUAAUGCAUCUCUGAUAGUGUGUACUAUUUUAACGUAACUAGGAAAUUAUCGACGGAGUAUUAAAAUUCUGGAGGGUUUUUUGAAAAUUUUAGUGUGAAAUUUAAAAUUUCAAGGCAAUGUUACAAAGGAAUGUUUGAUUGUGUUUAACUCCCAUCCUUUCAUCUCUCAUGCCCUAAACAAUGGUUUCUCCUAGGUUUUCUAAUUAAAACUCAAGUAAAGAUGAAGAACUCUCCCCCUCUAAUUUUUCCAGCAGGCCCGUCGGUUAUAAAGAGAGUAAAAACUGAUUUUUUCCAUUUUUUCCACCUAUUUAUGAAAUUACCAUUAGCAAGUCUACAUGGUUUUUUUUGUCUACAGUCUUUUAAAAUUCUGAUUGUUAUGAAAUUCUAAUCCAAGAUAGAGAAACAUGUCAUGAGAUUACUCGUGAAAUAUUAAGUCGAUUUAAUAAUUAGAUUGAGAGUUAUGCCCGAUAAUAUAAAACUGGAUUAUUUAUGAUUUUUCAUAAAAAAUCUGAUUUUUUUAAUUAUAUCCUUGCAUAAAUUGUACCAAUUAUUUUACUAAAUUCUUGGGACCAUUUUCUUAUCACAAGUAUAUUUAUUUUUCUUUUUUACUAAUUAUCUUAUUUACAGACUUGUUAGUAGUUCGCGAUAACUUUAUCGAUUUUUAUUCAGGUUUACAUCAAUAUUUUUACAUGCAAUUCUUUCUUAACUUUAAUUCUUCAUGUCCAUUGUAAUUCCUCAAAAUUAUUUCUCAUUCUCAAAAAAACAUUUAUUUUAAUUUUUUCUAAUCUUUCUAUCCAUCAAAACUUGUUGCUAAUUUCGUUGAUGUCAUAAUUUUUUUUUAAAACUAAUAGUUAUAAUCUUUGUUUCAACAAUAUCUUUAAAUUUAUUUAAGGAGGGUCCAUUACAUACCACAUUUGUAUUAAUUUUCCUUAUUUAUCUAUCAUUUUUAGUCCCGAGUUUCUAUUACUUAUCGAGUUCUUGUUACCCAUAUACAGGGGAGUUUACAGAGAUGCUUCUCUAGGGGUACUUCAAUCGGUGAACUGAUGAUUUGAGAUCAGCCUUGGAGAUAUAACUGGCACGGAGUAUUUUGGAGAUGCCCUUGUAAGUGAUUCUGAUUUUCUGGACUAGCAGAAGUUGAAGAUUUUAACAAGGGGAAAGUGACUAAUGAAGAAAUAACCAUAAAAGAUAGCAUUAAGGUAAACUACUACAUCUUUAAUCAAGCUUGAAGUGGUUUAAUCAUGCUAGACGACUGUUGAUUUGGAUAUCACCAUUGUUGGGAUAAUCUUUACAGUCAUUAAAAUUAUAGAAAUCUGAUUAUUCGGUCUCAAGAGACCAAGCUUCUUCAAUAGAAAUGUGAUUAUUCGGUCUCAAGAGACCAAGCUUCUUCAAUCCCAAAUACUGCAGAGCUGACCAUUAGUGGCUGAAGCACAGAAACCAUUUUCUUUUACUUGCUUCUUUGCAUUCUCUGCAGCUGAUGAAUCCUUUUCUUUUGCUUCUUCUUCAGCUUUUGCUUUGACGAAUCCUUCUCUUUUGCUUCUUCUUCAGCUUUUGCUUUCUCUUUUGCUUCUUCUUCAGCUUUUGUUUUCUCUUUCUCUUUUGCCUCUUCUUCAGCUUUCAAUCUAGCACUCUCUUCCUUUUCUUUUGCUUCUUCUUCUGCUUUCAGUAUAGCGUCCUCUUUCGCCUUCUCGAGUGCUCCUAUUAGGCUCUCCAAGCAAACCUUGGCGUCUCCAGUAAUAGUCUUCGGCAUCAAAUGCUCUGCUACUUCAGCAGGGGUCAUUUUGGUUUCCCCCAACAACUCCUGGAUUCUGGCAAACAAGUGGUGUGAAUCAAGCCGAAGGUAGUUCUUCGCCAAAACCUGGAAUGCUUCAAAGCUACAAUAGGACAAUUCUAUGUGCUUGUCCAUCCUUCCUUUCCUAAUGAGAGCUGGAUCAAGUUUCUCCACAAAAUUAGUCGUGAAAACAAUCAGUCUUUCUCCUCU
rnacentral:lncRNA from 1 species